rnacentral:rRNA from 1 species
CCUACGGGUGGCAGCAGUGGGGAAUAUUGCGCAAUGGGCGAAAGCCUGACGCAGCGACGCCGCGUGAGGGAUGAAGGUCUUCGGAUCGUAAACCUCUGUCAGCAGGGAAGAACGGUCACUGUGCUAAUCAGCAGUGAAUUGACGGUACCUGCAAAGGAAGCACCGGCUAACUCCGUGCCAGCAGCCGCGGUAAUACGGAGGGUGCGAGCGUUAGUCGGAAUUACUGGGCGUAAAGCGCUCGUAGGCGGGAUGUCAAGUCAAGGGUGAAAUCCCCGGGCUCAACGUGGAAACUGCAUUUGAAACUGGCAGACUGGAGUGUGUGAGAGGAUAGUGGAAUGCCAGGUGUAGGAGUGAAAUCCGUAGAUAUCUGGAGGAACAUCAGUGGCGAAGGCGACUAUCUGGCACAUAACUGACGCUGAGGAGCGAAAGCGUGGGUAGCAAACAGGAUUAGAUACCCGUGUAGUC